UCCAGCUCCAAUAGCGUAUAUUAAAGUUGUUGCGGUAAAAAAGCUCGUAGUUGGAUUUCUGUUGAGAGCGACCGGUCUCUACCAUGUAGUUGUAUCUGGCUUGCUCUCGGCAUCCUCUCGAUAGACGUUGCUGCGCUUGAUUGCGUGGCGCGGAUCUCGGGACUUUUACUUUGAGGAAAUUGGAGUGUUCACGGCAGGCUUUCGCCAGAACAUAUUAGCAUGGAAUAAUACUAUAGGAUCUUGGUUCUAUUUUGUUGGUUUCUAGAAUUAAGAUAAUGAUUAAUAGGGACAAUUGGGGGCAUUCGUAUCAACACGUCAGAGGUGGAAUUCUUGGAUUGUGUUGCGACGAACUACUGCGAAAGCAUUUGCCAAGGAUGUUUUCAUUGAUCAAGAACGAAAGUAAGGGGAUCGAAGACGAUUAGAUACCGUCGUAGUCUUUACCAUAAACUAUGCCGACUAGAGAUGGGGCAUCGUUCAUUUACGACUUGCUCCGCACCUUAUGAGAUAUCAAAGUCUUUGGGUUCCGGGGGGAGUAUGGUCGCAAGACUGAAACUUAAAGGAAUUGACGGAAGGGCACCACCAGGAGUGGAGCCUGCGGCUUAAUUUGACUCAACACGGGGAAACUCACCAGGUCCAGACAUAAUAAGGAUUGACAGAUUGAUAGCUCUUUCUUGAUUUUAUGGGUGGUGGUGCAUGGCCGUUCUUAGUUCGUGGAGUGAUUUGUCUGCUUAAUUGCGUUAACGAACGAGACCUUAACCUGCUAAAUAGGAGCGCCUAUCUCCGGAUAAGCGUCUUUCUUCUUAGAGGGACUUUAUGCGUUUCAGCAUGAGGAAGUUUGAGGCUAAAAC
rnacentral:rRNA from 1 species